rfam:Acyrthosiphon pisum strain LSR1 Contig7746, whole genome shotgun sequence.
AAAACGGCCCUUUUCAGAGCCACCACAUUUUUAAGUUCAUAAAUAU